AAUUGCACAAAACAUACUAGUUAAAUUUAUAAAAAUAAAUAAUGUAUUUUCUGAAGUUAAAGAGUUAUUAAUUAACGUAUUUUCUGAAGUUAAAGAGUUAUUAAGUAACUAAAAUCAAAUAAAUUAAAAGGUAAGGUAACAAAUCAAAAUUUUUAAAGAUUAGAUAGUCAUAUCAAAAUAGGUGAUACUUGAGAAAAAUUCUCUACAUUUUUACUAAAUAUAUAUAUAUAUAGAGAGAGAGAGAGACAGACAGAGAGAGUCUGGUUGGGAUGCUUCUAAUAGCACCAAGCACUUAGAGCUACAAAGUUUUCUAUCGUUAGAUUUACUCCUUUAACAAUUUCGAUCCGUUAGAUUAUACUAUUCAACCGACUACCCACUAAACCCAAAGGAACCACUAUCAUCCUAACUGCACAUCCCUUCAUCUAAGGGUCGGAAACCUAAUAGCACUAAUGACCUGGUGCUAUUAAAAACACACACACACACACACACACACACACACACACACACACACACACACACACACAUAUAUAUAUAUAUACACACUAUCGGUAGCACAGAGACCUUCGUCCUACCCAGUUGUUUUUGAUGAUGCAGCUUCAAAAUCGACAAUCGGCUCCAUUAGACCCGAUCUACACAGUACCGGUACUGGUACUGGGCCGGAUACCUGAGAGAGAGAGUUCGUGUAAUGAACCCAGUUAUUUUCAAUGAUACGGUUUCCAAAUCAAUGAUCCCAUCUCC
rnacentral:lncRNA from 1 species